rnacentral:rRNA from 1 species
UACAGAGGUGGCAAGCGUUAGGCGGAAUCACUGGGCUUAAAGCGUGUGUAGGCGGACGCCUAAGUGUCUUGUGAAAUCCCCCGGCUCACCCGGGGAACUGCUGGGCAUACUGGGCGUCUUGGGCCAACUAGGGGCAGCCGGAACAAGCGGUGGAGCGGUGAAAUGCGUAGAUAUCGCUUGGAACGCCGAAGGUGAAAACAGGCUGCUGGGGUUGCGCCGACGCUGAGACACGAAAGCCAGGGGAGCAAACGGG